CCAAGCGUGGCUCGUUAGUCAGCGUAGCAGGGAUAGCUUAGAGGAAUGAAUUCUGCCAAGACAUUGGGUACCAGCUAUUUACACCAACCUUCAUACCAAGACAUUCGACAGACUAGGGCUGAUGGGCCACUCAUCCACCCCAGCAAUGUGCAGUAAAAGUGAUCCUAUUUUAUGCCACAAAAUGUGAGGACCGUGGUAGAUACACAGACACAAA